UCCUUUGAGAACUGGGGAAUUUGGUGCCUGAAAUUGCAGAAUCACGGAACAUGCUGAGUUGGAAGGGACCCACAGGGAUCACAGAGUCCAACUCCUGGCCCUGCACAGGAGCAUCAGCAACAGACCAUCAUCAUCGUAUCCUGUGCCCAGGAGUGAUGAGCACCUUGUGGCCUUUGGGUGCUCUAACUCCUCUGGAGACAGCCACAUGAAGAAGUCAGGAAAGAAGACAAAAAAUGACUUUACAGUGGUUUAUUACUGUUUAUGCCAAUGUCUGCACUCCAAACCACCCCGGAGCAAAAAGGUAAAACAUGAAGAGGUGUCAAAAGGUGUCCAUAAACAAAAAGUUGUUAAGAAGGUUGGACUGCAGCUGCCCUGAAAGCUCUUCCAUUAAAAGCAAAUCCAUCUCAUUGCCAAUAUGAGGCAGAAGAUCAUGAAGAAGCAGCUGGAUCCUUACAUGACACCCUAGUGAGCCUUGGGAGGUUUCCUGCAUUGCUUGCCUGACUCCCAGAGUGUGUGAAGGGUGACAAAUAUGUACAGAAAGACUGGAAAAAUAUGGAAGAAUCCUGAUUUGAAAAUUCACCCAGACGCCUUUUUUAAGGUUCCUGACUGGAAGAAUUCUGACUUGAAAAUUCACCCAGACACCUUUUUUAAGGCUCUGGCUGCCUUGCAGGUGUGUUCUCCAGAUCUCCUGCGGCUGUGGAGACGGAGGGGGCAGUUGGCAUUGAGUUUAUUCUGGAGUUAUUUCCUGAUUAUGGAUUAAUUCUUGCCUUACAUCAGUAUUGAAACACCAAGCAUCAUUAGAUGCAUCUCCCGGCUUUCCAGCUGAAGCAUUGCAGAAGAUGGAAAACUCAGGCUUACCAACUCCAGGAUAUUUGGGAUCUGCUCCAGCUCCUGUUAAGGUCAGAAACCAGGAGACAGCAUGGAAAAGGACAGAUCACGGAAAACACCCAAAGACCUCUUCACAUGUGUUUGAGCUCUUGCAGGCUUGCACAGUCAACUUACUGACUUCAAAUUGUGAUAUAAUUCCAGAAGGUUAUCACAGGAUGGAAAAGCAAUCUCAGACUGUGAAGGCAGGGAGGUUCUCUGUUCUCUCAGGAAGACAAAGCAUGGCUAAUGUUGGAAGAUGGUGAGAGUACUUUUUUUUUCAGCUGCCGAGCCAUCCCAGCACAGCGGUUCUCUCCUCUGAGGUUACAGCCUCUCCAAGGGCUGGAACUGCCCUCCCUCUGCAGCCUGAGAACCCAAAAUGUUGGCUGAGGACCUCCUUCCUUCUCCUCACCUCGGUAAGUGGCUACAAGUCAGUGCCGUUUAAAAUUUAAUCAGUCUCGUCCUAACAGGACACAGUUCUUGGAUUUUAACCCAUCUUCUACACAAACCACUAAAUUCAGCCACACUAACUGCCUCCUGACAGAACCUUUAUCUCAAGAACCUCUUAAUGAGCUCUCAUUAGCACAAAUUGGCCCUGAAUAUCUCACCACUUCCUAUCUCCUGCUUUCUCUGCAAUCCAUUAGCAUCUGUUAGCAGCCUCGUUUGAACAAUUAAACUUUACGGUUUCUAGAAACACACAAGAAACACCAGGUUCUACUGUUAGACCUGUGACUUUGAGAGACCUGGGAAGGGAUUCACACGGCCCAGCUUAACGGAGCCCAAAUUCCACCUGCACUUCAUUGUCCUCAGAGGAAGAUUUAACACAGGUUGUUGAUGUCACUGGUGACUCUGCCAGUCUCUGGAUCACUCUCUUGGAGGUCCCCUGGAAAAGCACUAAAACUCGAUGUCUGGUGUUAAACAGGAAGAAUCUACAUCUUUUCCUCACAGCCCAGGGUCAUGUUUCUCUGGCUGAUCUCUGCACACACCUUUGCCUUCUCCUUAGAAUUGAUUUGCCACAGCUGUUUGCUGUCCUUGUUUAUGUCCACCUUGAAUGGCUCAAACUGCCCUAAGCAGCUGGAUUUUCACAGUCAUGAGAUAACAAAUUCUUAUUAACUGUGUUUCAACCACCAGCAGGCAAACUCAAGCUCAAACCAUUCGAAGCCAUUACAAUGGGUCCUGAAAGUGUGCCCCUGGAUUAAAGGCUUGAGGGGCCCGGAAGAUGCUGAUCCCUGGCAGAGGAUAUGGACUCCAUCCCUACUGAAAUCAGCCCCAGCAGUAAUUGUGUGGUGUGAUGUGAAUUGUUUUUCCUGCACUUGUCUGGUGACUGUGUUUAAAGUCCCCUGAGAACAAACAGAUCAGAGAGUUUACAGCUGCACAGAGCUUGUGCCUGAACAUUAAUGGCUACGUUGGCAAGCAGAUGGGAGCUGGUCUUUCUUACUCUUUCCCAAAGAUGUACCGUCUUUUCUUUUGACAUUUUGAUAGAUCAGCAGAUUCUCACUCUGUGUUAUAUUCCAGGCAUGCAGCUGAGAGACAAUUAAUGCCUAUGAAAGUGAAAACACUGCACCUUUAUUCCUUAUAAAAGUCUCUACUGUGUCACAUGUUGUAGGAUAACAUCCAGAACGGGGAAACGGUGGCUCCAUUCAAGUCUAUUGCAAAACUCCCAGGGAUAAAAGUCUCUCAUUCAUAAAGCUGUAAGCACACCUUACUAUUUUUUAAAACUUUAAUUAAUGAAAUGCUCUCAGGACGAGCCAGUGAGAGCAAAAUCUCAACUUCAGCCUUCAUCUGACCAAAAGUCUCUAAUUUGCUGAUACAGGUGUGAAGAUUUUUCUAGGACCACAUAGCAUAAACAGCCUGUUCCUUUCUCAGUGUAGGCUGCCGUGUCACUCCUCACUAAAUUGAAAACCAUUAUGGAAAUAGAUCUUUAUUUACUUGGGGUAAAUAAAGAUCUAUUUCCAUAAUGGUUUACUUGGAGGUAAAUAAAGAUCUAUUUUCAUAAUGGUUUACUUGGGGUAAAUAAAGAUCUAUUUAUUUUGGGGGUUUUUCCCCCAUAUGUUGUUUUAGAGAUAAUACUGAUUUCCUGGCUCUCUUUCAGGCUUCCCCACAGUAGGUUUCACCUUACAGAUGCCAUGUUCAGUAAUAACGGAAUAAUUUGCUAAAAAAUUUACCCUAAUGCUUUAAAUUCGUUAGUUUCUGCUGCUCUUCAAUGCUUUGGCUAAGUUCAGCAAGAGGCUGAGACGGCAAAUUCAGUCCAGGUGCGAGAAAAUGGCUUUGCGGGCUUUUCCCCGCUUGCUGAAGCGGCUCGGGCACUUGGGACCGCGAGUUUAAGAGCGCGGCGCGGUUCUGCCGGGGGCUGUGCGAACUCGGCUCAAGCCCUUUGGCUGCAGCAGCAGAAGUUGUUCCACAGGGGCCGGAGCAGGC